GACGAACGCUGGCGGCGUGCUUAACACAUGCAAGUCGAACGGAAAGGCCCCCAUCUUGGUGGGGGUGCUCGAGUGGCGAACGGGUGAGUAACACGUGGGUGAUCUGCCCUGUACUUCGGGAUAAGCUUGGGAAACUGGGUCUAAUACCGGAUAGGACCAUGGUUUAGUGUCUCAUGGUGGAAAGAUUAUUGUUUUGGUGCAGGAUGAGCUCGCGGCCUAUCAGCUUGUUGGUGGGGUAAUGGCCUACCAAGGCGUCGACGGGUAGCCGGCCUGAGAGGGUGGACGGCCACAUUGGGACUGAGAUACGGCCCAGACUCCUACGGGAGGCAGCAGUGGGGAAUAUUGCACAAUGGGCGCAAGCCUGAGGCAGCGACGCCGCGUGGGGGAUGACGGCCUUCGGGUUGUAAACUCCUUUCGUUAGGGACGAAGCCGCACUUUUUUUGGGUGUGGUGACGGUACCUUUGUUAAGAAGCACCGGCUAACUACGUG
rnacentral:rRNA from 1 species